GAUUAACGCUGGCGGCGUGCAUAACACAUGCAAGUCGAACGAUGAAGAUUAUUAGACUUCUUCGGAAUGAAAAUAAUUGGAUUAGUGGCGGACGGGUGAGUAACGCGUGAGUAACCUGCCUUACACAAGGGGAUAGCCGUUGGAAACGACGAAUAAUACCCUAUGAAACUAUCACUUCGCAUGAAGCGAUAGUCAAAGUGUUAGCGGUGUAAGAUGGACUUGCGUCUGAUUAGCUAGUUGGUGAGAAAAAAGCCCACCAAGGCAACGAUCAGUAGCCGGCUCGAGAGAGUGUACGGCCACAUUGGGACUGAGACACGGCCCAGACUCCUACGGGAGGCAGCAGUGGGGAAUUUUGCACAAUGGGGGAAACCCUGAUGCAGCGACGCCGCGUGAUUUAGAAGGCCUUCGGGUUGUAAAAAUCUUUUGUAUAGGAAGAAAAUGACAGUACUAUACGAAUAAGGUCCGGCUAAUUACGUG
rnacentral:rRNA from 1 species